rnacentral:miRNA from 1 species
AGAAGUCCGGCACAGAGCGUC